rnacentral:rRNA from 1 species
UACGUAGGGGGCAAGCGUUGUCCGGAAUCAUUGGGCGUAAAGAGCGCGUAGGCGGCCCUGUAAGUCCGCUGUGAAAGUCAAGGGCUCAACCCUUGGAUGCCGGUGGAUACUGCAGGGCUAGAGUCCGGAAGAGGCGAGUGGAAUUCCUGGUGUAGCGGUGAAAUGCGCAGAUACCAGGAGGAACACCGAUGGCGAAAGCAGCUCUCUGGGACGGUACUGACGCUGAGACGCGAAAGCGUGGGGAGCGAACAGG